rnacentral:lncRNA from 10 species
AAGUGAGAUGACACAGUGAAACACAUAGCCCCGUACCAAGGACACAUUUAUUUACUCAAAAAAGCUAGCUAUGCGUAAGACCGGGAACAUUUAAACAUCAUAAAAGUAAAACAUGCUGACUGUAAAAAAUGGGAGAAAUCUGGUAAAGUGUAAAAACAAAAAUUACCAGUCACUGCAAUGCUUCUCGAUAAUAUUUUUCCAUCUAUUUUGUAUACUUAUUUUAUCAGUCAGUGUAGAUCAUAGUCCAGGGAAAACCGUACCAAAAUCUCAGUGGUUUCAAGGCACAGAGGUUCAUUUCUGCUCAUACCCAGAUCACAGGAGUCUGGGUGACUCUCAGGUGCUCUUUCCCAUAUUGUGGCUCAGUGAUAGAGGCUCCUUUGAGCUUCUGGGCCUUCAGAAUGAAUACACAUUCCCAUGACUGCUUAGGCCAGGGGAGAGUGGGCUGGGAAGGGUUGCACCAGCAAUUGAACACCAUCACCCAGAAGUGACACAGGUUACUUCUCUCGCAUUUCACUGGCCAAAGCAACUCACACAACCAUCCUGAUAUCAAGGGGCGAGGAAGGGAAAUCUUCCAGGGUGCCUGGAUGCAAUGGGCGAGUGGACCUGGGACACCGUGACUACGUCCACCCCACACAUUCCCAGAAUCGAAGACACAUCGCGUCUGUGAUUUUGCUUUUUCACUGCUUUUGUCUCUUCCCAUUACAUCAUAAAAUAUUCUUCGAAAACAUGUGGCACGGAUAAAGCUGCAGAUUUAAGAAAAGAUUUUAAGUUGUAUGGUGACACUAUUUCCCUCUUCCUCGUUCUCUCCUUCCUCUUAUUCUUCUAAUUUAGGGAACUGUAUGUAGGUGGCAGAGAUCCAGGCACCAAAACUUUGCAUGUCCUUGCUCAGAAAUGCCUCCUCUUCUCUUCCUGGCCAACGCAGGACAGGCCGGUUCUGUCGUUCCUUCCUGGAGAGCUUGUGCUGUUCUGUGGGCGUCUUUCCCUCCAGAAGUAACACAUUUGGAGGUGAGGCCCAGAGAACCUGCUGAACAACUGCCGGAUUAACAACUCCACAUGUGGGGUGUGGCUGCACGCGGCUCUGCCGGGGCCUCCUUGCGCAGACAGUCAGCCAGUGGUGUUAACGCGCAGUGUUAAAAGUGACACCAAAGUGGUGCCGGCGCCACUGUCAGCUGCUGCAAGAGAUAACACCCGGGCCUGCAGAGUUGGGUGCGAGCUCAGGAGCGACAGCCCCUCCUCGCUGGUGUCCCAGGAUCCCAGGGACCAGUGGGAAGGGGUCCAGGAGGAAGGAGCUCGGUGGGCCCACUCGAGAGGAGUACUUUGUUCCAAGCAUGCAAAGUAUGGGAAACUGAAGCUGUGGGGACAGUGAGGAACGUGUUGAGGUCAAGAGGCUGAGAACUGGAAGGAAGGACCAGUCGAGUCAGCAAGAGCACUGUGCUGAGAUCUGCUCUGUUCCUUUUUCGCUCAACAAACUUGCUGCCGUGUGCCUGCUCUGCUCCUGCAGGGAGGGCACCUGCGACCUUCCUAAAAGAGAUCAUCAACAACUUCUGAGGUUUAGAAUCCAGCUGUGAAAAUGUUACUGACAUACUUGAAACAAUUAAAGAUGAACGCAAAGUGCACUCUCAUCUGGCAUUGGGCUGUGCAGGCAGGUGGCCUGGGUUUCAGAGGAAUUGGCAGGAGGGAGAGUUUGCUGAGGGCAUAGAAAUGCUCCAAAGGGCUCCUUCUUUGUCAGCUGCCACCAUCCACAGAAACCCCAGAGAGCAGGGGAAGAAAGCAAAUGUGGAGCAAAGAAGGCAAGCAGGGAGAAGGGGAUUAUGUAAUCCUCCAGCAGUGUGUGAGCUGAGUGAGGCAGUCCUCUGCAAGCCCCUUUUGCCGAUGGAGAAAGUGAGACCCAGAGGGCUAACCCACCUUCCUCUGGGGACAGCGAUACAACUGAAGCUGAGCUGGUCCAGCCUGGUGCCAUCUGCAGAAAGACUUACGUGCAUUUUCCCUCACAAGCUGUGGAUGAAGGGGUAAGGUCUGACCCGUGCCCAGCAUCGGCUGGGAGCUGGACCAAGAUUUCAUGGAAAGUAAAACUCAAGACUUUCACUUCCUUGAGUGUGAAAUAAAACAACUCAUCUCUAGUUUGCAGAGCACUAUCCUCUUUAUUAUCUUAUUUUCUUCUCACAACAACCUGUGACAAACACAUUAUUAUUUCCAUUUUGCAAUUUCAGAACCUGGGGCUGGGAGGGAGAUUGAGCUGCAUUUUGCAGCUCUGGAGGGAGGAGAUAGAGCCCAGGUGGGCUGAGGCUGUUUCAGGCCUUCGUUGCUCUAUCACGCAGCCUCUGGAGUCAACCACCGAUCAUCCAAGACAACCCAGAUAUUAGCUCAUUGGCCUGCUGAAUCCCAUUUCCUCUUCAAAUGUGACCCGCCCCAACAAGCUCAGUCUGGAGCCCACUGGACUAGGAGUGGAUUUGGAGGGUGCUACCCUUUGGCUGGCCAGCCACCAAUCAGAUACUUCUGCUGGAUCUGACCUAAGUCUGCACAGGGAGCUGGGAGAACCGAGGCACGAUGGAAGGAUAUGAGCCGGAAGUCUGCAGGAAACACCAGUUCCCAGGACCUCCGUUUACAGAUGGGAAGACCGAGGCUCAGAGAAUAUAAGCUGCUGGCGGACACACCACUGGGAAGUGGUGAAACCUCACCCAGGCUCUCCCCCUGCCAUGCAGGCUGUCACUGAAAUCAUGCUGGGCCCUCACCAUCCAAGCCGGUGGGUACCCCCGACAGAGCCACACUCUUGAAGGUGUUUCUCUACCCAAUCUAAAGCAGGAUGUCAUUUUUCACCUCCACAUUCCCGUCAUCGUGCAGCAGGUUGCACAUCUCCUCAUUUCUGAGGAAGCCAUUUGGGGCUGUGUUCUGUGAACGGCCUGUUGCUAUUUGCUCGUGUUCCCCUGGGGUUGUUGAUUUUCCGCUGACUGUAGGAGUGCUUUAGCAUUUAAGGAAACUCACCCUUUGCCAUAUGUGUUGCAAAUAUUUUUUCUAGUUUUUUUUUUUAUAGUGGGAUUUUAAUAUCACAUGCAGUUGAAUUUUCAAUAUUUAUUUUCUGGCUUGACAUUUAAAGUCAACCUAGCCAGCCUCCUUCCGUGGUGUUCCUCUGGGCUUUUGGGGUGCGAGGUUUUCCCUGAUCUUGCCCUUGGCUGUGUAGAUGGAUGCUGUCCAUUUUCAGCUCUGCAGUGCUUGGAAAGCCAGCCUUCCUGUUAAUGCUACCUUCAGCUUCCUCAAAAACAGGACGAAACCUACAGGUGAGCCUCUCCUCCUGGAUUCCAGGUGCUGCCACAGUGGCUGACGGAAGACUCUCGAAAGAGCUGAUCACAGGCCACCCUCGGUCCAAAUUCCUCCGGGGUGCCUUUACCCUCAAAGCGGUCAGGUUUCUGAGAUGACAAAGCCCCUUUGACAGGCCUGUCAACUUCCCAGGCACCUACCAGGGCCCCAGCCAGGUCCAGAUCCAGAGCUUCCAGGACCCACCAUGUUGCUGGGCCCAUUCCCGGCCCUUCUCUGUGUCUCUGCAGAGGCUUAAUGGAGGGAGGCUCUCUUGAUUGGCAGCUUGUGGGGCAGGUGCCAAGCCUCAUUCAUUACACUUCUCAGCAUCUAACACAGUGCCUGGUGCACAGAAGAUGAAUUCAACUGGCAACGCAAAUGGUGUUCGUGAGCAGCACCCACAAGAACCACUCUCCACAAAGAUCCAACAUCUAGAAAGCCUGAGGCUCCACCCCUGGUUCGUUCUUUGGAGAGGACUGGCUACAUAAUUUGCAGGAUUCAGGGUGAAGUGAAAAUGCAGGUCCCUUGUGAAAAAGUGAAAAAUUUUAAGACGGUGACAACAGAGGAUUAAACCCAGCAUGGGGGCCCUGUACAACCUCACAGAUCACACAUCUCUGAGGCAGCCUGCCUUUAGGUCAGGGAAAAAGCUUCUGAAAAUCCUGGAAUCAGUGGGCAAAGCCUUGGCCAUUCUUCCAGACAGGUCAGUGAAACGCUGAUUAAAAACAAAAAGGACCCUAAGUAAAUUCUCCUUCAGGGUGAAUCUUUAAGUCACAAGCUUCUCCGCCUCCCUGGCUUCCCCUUUGUCCUGUUAAUCAGGCUUUGUUUCUGUGACUGUUAUUUAUUUAGAGACAAGGUAUUGCUCUGUCCAGGCUAGAGUGCCGUGGUUCCAUCACGGCUCACUGUAGCCUCAAUCUCCCAAGCUCAGGCGAUCCUUCCGCCUCAGCCUUGUGACUAUUUAUUGCUGGGCACCCACUAUGUGCAAGCACUGCGCUAAACUCUAGGGCUAGAGCAGUGACCAGUGCCACUGAGGUUCCUGCCUUCCUUGGGGUCACAUUGUAGUGGGGAGCACAGACGAUAAAUAAGUAGAUUAAUAUGCAGUAAAAAGUGAGAUGGUGCUACAUGCUAGGUAGCCAAAAAAAAAAAAAAAAAAAAGGCGAGUAAGGAGCUAUAAAGCUGGGGGAGCCAUAGUGGCGAAGUGAUCGGGGAAGGCCUCCCUGAGGAGGGGCCUUCAGAGCAGACACCUGGAUGAAGGAAGGGCAGGCCACACUGAGGUGGGCGGUGUGUUCAGGGCUGAGGGAAGAUGAGGCACAAAAGCUUGGAGGCAGGAAUGUGACUGGCAAGGGCAGUAGGGGGCAGAUGGGGUAGUGUGGGAGGAAAUGAGAUCAGAGAGGUCAGAGGGAUCCAGAGCUGGCAGGGGCUUGUAGGCUUGGAGGAGUUUGGAUCUGACACCAAUGGCCAGAGGGCAAGAGAUCCUUAGCAUUAUUGGCAGCAGGCAGGCACUUCCCCACCCAGAGGUAACAUUCAAAGUGUCUCUUUUCCUUGGCACACUGACUUGUGCUUCAGUAGUACCUCCUGGGAGCCAGGGAAGAUGCAGGGGACACAGGAAAUGAGAGGGUGCUGGGUUCAAAGCUGUCUUCUGCUGUGACUGCUUUGGAACUUGGGUCCAUUGCUUACACUCUCCAAAUCUCAGACUUUUGUGCCCUGCAGCUUUGUCAGGAGGGCUCAGGGACAUGACAUACCUUAUGGGCAGCCUGGCACACAGUGGGCACUCGGGAAACAUUAGCUAUUCGGGAAACAUUAGUGGUCACCCCUUUUCCCUUCUCCAGAGGGCUCUCUGUUGGGUUUAAUCCCAGCAUCACUAGAAUUCCAGGUCCCCUCCCUCUUGGGGAACAAUAGUGUUUUGUCAUAUGCAUUGUCUUCACAUUUCCUUCCUGGAGUUCAGGGGAGGAAAGGGACUUAAGAUUUGUUCGGUGCCAGCCCCCUGCCUGACACCUGCUACACACAAGUCCACAUCAUCCCCCAGAAAGCCCAGGAAGUGGAUACAAGCAUCUUAUUUCAUGGGCAAGGAAGCCGAGACUCAAAGGGGCUAAGGGAUGUAUGCCACAGCUCAUAGGUGGCAGUGCCAGCGUUCCAGUCCAGGCAGGACUGCAAUCAGCCUGGUGGUGCUGGAGGCCAGUUGACUUUGUGUGACCCCGUGGUUUUCCCAUGAAAGAAACAUAAGGACCAGUGCUUGUACCCUGGGCCCCAAUGCUGGGGUCUGAAUCUUGCCUGUGCUUCUUCUAGGGAAGUUACAGGGACAAACAUCCAACAUGCCUCAGUUUCCCCAUCUUGGGGAGAAGAAUAACAGUCCCUACCUUACAUGAUUAUUGUGGGAAUGAAAUGAGAUUACUCACGCAUGUACCUAGGACAGUCCCCGGCACACAGUAGUUGCUCAAAUAACCUUAACUAUCGUAUUAUGCGAAAGUUGUGACCUGGCAUUUUCUUAGUAAUGCUUUCUGAAUCAGAUCCUUCAAGCCUACUCUUCCUUAGGCUGCCCCAGAGGCAAGGAACCGGGUUCCCCGUCUGUGGCAGAUUGUACUUUCACAGAGGACCACAGCAGCCUAUCCCACUUUGCAUGCUCUUCUGCAUUGGCACUCUGCAUUCCCCUUCAAGAAGUGGAGUCAUUCCCCUCUUCCUUGGACCUGGGGCCAGAAGUCAUGUUCCAUUCUUAUCAUAGGUCCGAAAAGGUCACUGAGCUUCCCCUUGCUUCUCUUGGGAUGCUUGCUCUGGGGAAGCCAGCUGCCUCCUAAGUCCAAGUGCUCCGGGACUGUCAUUGUGGAGACCAGGAGCAGGUGCCGGCUGUGCCUGCAUGGCAGUGAAGCCACACUGGACCCUCUAGACCAGCCCACCCACAGUUGAUGCCAUGGAGAGUGGAAUGAUUUUCCAGUGGAGCCCUGCCUGAAUCUCCCAAGAGAGGGGGAGCCCACAGGGUCAGCUGAGUUGAAAUCUGAAGAUUGGGCAGAGAGCACCAAGCCUGCACCCAGUGAGACAGCAGCCCCAGCAUGUGGCUGUUUAAAUUAAAAUUAACUGAUAUUGAGUGAAAUGAAAAGUUCAGUUCCUCCAUCACACAGGCCAUGUUUCAAAUGCUCGGUAGCCACAUGGGCACAGAAUUGCAGCAAGUUCUAUUGGAGGCACUGCUCCAAGGCCCCGGGGUCCUACUGACCAGGUGGAAGGCCACCCGCCAGCUGGGAACAUCCACAUGGAGCUUUGUGUGCCAGAGAAGUCAACUUCUUGAAUGAAGUUAAGACGUGGGCUGGGGGAGGUGUUUGCCACUGUAACUAACAGGUAUCCUGUUAGUUAUCCUGGCCUGGAGGAGCGUUCCAUCUGGUACAGAACAGAGAUAAGUAAACAGUCCAUCGUGGGCCGGGGGAGACACAGGAGCCUGAAGAUCCCUGGGCCCAGAUGCAAGGCGAGGUAAUCAGAGAUGGCCCCAUGGAGGAGGCAGCACCUAUCCCCAGCACCAGGUCCAGCCAAGGGAGAAUGGUGAGAGGCAUUUCGCCUCCAUUUCUCUCCCGCAGUUCCUAGCUCUCCUUCUUUCAGGCACCAAAAGCCUCCUGCUGUCUUCUUUCCCACUGGCG